AUGGAACAAACUCUCCCAAGACCAAGGAGUACUCUUGUGGCUCUUGGCACAUAUAGUGAGGGAGAAAUGGAUUCGGCAGAGAUGAAAGCAACUGCUUCAAGUGAAGGAAUGAAGGCCGUUCAAUCAGCCAUGAGGUUGUUUGUGAUGGUGAUUUGUAUUGGUUACACCAUGGUUUGGAUCAUGAUGCCCACAAACACAUUUUAUUUGAAAUGGUUGCCUGCUAUCCAUUCAAAAACAGAUUCAACAUAUUUCGGGACACAAGGUGCAAAUAUGCUUAUUUUCACAUUCCCCAGCCUAUUGAUAGCCACUUUGGCCUGCCUAUACCUUCAUUUGAGAAAGAAAAAUGUUGAUAACAACAAUCAAAGAAAUUAACGAUCUUUUGUUUAUAGCCCGGUGGACAAUUCUUGUUUGGCAUCAUGGAGAAGACCAGUGCUAGUGAGAGGCCCUCUUGGAAUUGUUUCUUGGGUUGAACUAUGCUUUUUGACCAUGUUUAUUGCACUCUUGAUUUGGUCGGUCUUUUCUUACUUACGUGGUAUGUUUGCCUAUAUCAACCAAGAGGCAGCACAAAAGAGAGAGCAUGUGUGGGAAGCAAAGUUGGAAAGUUCAGCGCUAAUGCUAGGCCUUGUUGGGAAUAUCUGUUUAGCCUUUCUCUUCUUUCCGAUAUCUAGAGGAUCUUCGGUUUUACAACUCAUUGGCCUCACGUCUGAGGCAAGCGUCAAGUACCAUAUCUGGCUAGGCCAUAUCGUAAUGACCCUAUUUACUGCUCAUGGCCUAGGUUACAUUCUCUUUUGGGCUAAGACACAUCAAAUUUCACAGAUGCUAAAAUGGAACAAGAUCGGUAUUUCAAAUGUGGCUGGAGAAGUAGCUUUGCUGUCAGGAUUAGUCAUGUGGGCAACAACCUUCACACCCCUAAGGCGAAAGAUUUUCGAGAUCUUCUUCUAUACUCAUCAUCUCUACAUUAUCUUUGUUGUCUUCUUUCUGCUUCAUGUGGAAUUCUCCUAUUCUUGCAUCAUGCUUCCGGGGUUAUACCUCUUCUUAAUUGAUAGGUACUUGAGAUUCUUACAAUCCCAACAAAGGGUUCGCUUCGUUUCAGCCCGAGUUUUACCAUGUCAAGUAGUUGAGUUGAAUUUCUCCAAGAGCCCAGAGUUGAGCUAUACUCCAACAAGCACUAUGUUCAUAAAUGUGCCUAGCAUUUCCAAGCUGCAAUGGCACCCUUUUACCAUCACCUCCAGCAGUAAUAUGGAUCUUGACCACCUAAGUGUCGUAAUCAAAUGUAACGGAAGUUGGUCACAGAAAUUAUAUCAGAAGUUGUCGUCCCCUUCACCUAUGGACCGUAUUGAGGUCUCCAUUGAAGGACCCUAUGGACCUCUUUCAACUCAAUUUCUAAGGCAUGACAUGCUAGUAAUGGUGAGCGGAGGAAGCGGCAUUACUCCCUUUAUCUCAGUUAUUCGUGAGCUCCUCUUUAGGUCCAACACAACAGGUGGCAAGACUCCACGGGUUCUUCUUAUAUGUGCUUUCAAGAAGUCAUCGGAUCUUACCAUGCUAGACCUCCUCCUCCCACUUUCAGACACCAACCUUGACAGUUCUCGCUUGCAAUUACAAAUUGAAGCCUAUGUAACAGGAGAGAAAGAACAUACAACACACAACCAAAAGCUCCUUCAAACCAUUUGGUUCAAACCCAAUUCGUUGGAUGCACCAAUUUCUGCAGUUUUAGGCACAAAUAACUGGCUCUGGCUUGGCGCAAUAAUUUCUACUUCUUUUAUCAUUUUCCUCCUACUCAUUGGCAUUCUCACACGUUGUUAUAUAUACCCAAUUGACCGUAACUCUGAUAAGAUAUUCUCUUACACUUUGAGGUCUGCUCUAAACAUGUUAUUCAUAUGUGUGUCAAUAGCUGUGACUGCCACUGCAGCUUUUCUUUGCAACAAAAAACAGAAUGAUAAGGAACUGAAGCAAAUUCAGAACAUGGAUAUGCCAACACCAAUGACCUCGCCAAGCUCAUGGUUUCACAAUGUUGAUAAAGAAUUGGACAUCCUUUCCAGUCAGUCUUUUGUCCAGACCACAAAGAUCCACCUUGGUGAAAGGCCAAAUCUGAAAAAAAUGCUAAUGGGGUGUGAAGGAUCAAGCAUUGGAGUUCUUGCUAGUGGCCCAAAAAGAUUAAGACACGAUGUCGCAGCAAUCUGUUCAUCUGGUUUGGCAAAUAACCUACACUUCGACUCUAUUAGCUUUAGCUGGUGAGCUUAAGAAAAGCUAUCAUGGAUUCAAACAAGCCACACUUGGAAAAUGUUAGGCCUAUAGAAUAUUUAGAACUUCUUCAGUUAUAACCUACUAAAAGUAGUACUAUGGAUUACCGUUUCUUUUUUAAGAUUUGUAAUAAUCUAAAUGAUCUUUUGAAUACGCUGUUAGAAAGAUUGAAAGAUCAAAGAAAAGCUUUCAGUAUCAUGUAGUGCAAAUUCAUCCAAAGAAACUUGUAGAGUGAAAAUCAAUCAAACUGAUUCCAUUGCAAAGAAGCAAAACAAAAAUAUAUGUCAUAUGCUGAGAACAUAACAAGUGCAAAAAUGAUUACAUUAGAAGUGCUAAUAGCCAUAUACUUUUCUCCUCUAGAUACUCCACACCCUUCAAAGUCAUAAAACUCAACCAUCUCCACUAGAUUCAAGAAAAAUUGCAAACUGAAAAUAACAAUCAAUAAUGUACAUCACUUUGGAAUCUAAUCCAAAUUAUA